rnacentral:rRNA from 1 species
CGUAGGUGGCAAGCGUUGUCCGGAUUUAUUGGGUUUAAGGGUGCGUAGGCGGUCCUAUAAGUCAGUGCUGAAAUAUCACAGCUUAACUGUGAGGGUGGCAUUGAUACUGCAGGACUUGAGUAAAGUUGAGGUAGGCGGAAUUGACGGUGUAGCGGUGAAAUGCUUAGAUAUCGUCAAGAACACCGAUAGUGUAGACAGCUUACUAAGCUUUAACUGACGCUGAGGCACGAAAGUGUGGGGAUCAAACAGGAUUAGAUACCCUGGUAGUCCACACUGUAAACGUUGAAGACUCGCUGUUGGCGAUACACAGUCAGCGGCUGAGAGAAAUCGUUAAGUCUUCCACCUGGGGAGUACGCCGGCAACGGUG